AUGGGAAUUGAUGGGAAAUGAUGUAAAUAUAUCACUAGCCACUUUAAACAAUGCUACCUUAUAUAAUGUUACUUACCCUACAUUAUUCAUCUCAUAUGCAUACGUAGAUACUGUACUCUAUAUCAUCGACUGCAUCCUUAUGUAAUACAUGUAUCACUAGCCACUUUAACUACGCCACUUGGUUUACAUACUCAUCUCAUAUGUAUAUACUGUACUCGAUAUCAUCUACUGUAUCUUGCCUAUGCUGCUCUGUACCAUCACUCAUUCAUAUAUCCUUAUGUACAUAUUCUUUAUCCCCUUACACUGUGUAUGAGACAGUUUUUUUGGAAUUGUUAGUUAGAUUACUUGUUGGUUAUUACUGCAUUGUCGGAACUAGAAGCACAAGCAUUUCGCUACACUCGCAUUAACAUCUGCUAACCAUGUGUAUGUGACAAAUAAAAUUUGAUUUGAUUUGAUUUGAACACAACAUAUAAUUAGUGAGCAUUUCUCCUUUGCCAAGAUAAUCCAUCCACCAGACAGGUGUGGCAUAUGGAGUAUUUCUGUCUGUAAUAAAGCAAUUUUUGGGGGGAAAAACUCAUUAUGGAUUGGCUGGGCAUGGCUCCCCAGUGGCUGGGCCUGGCUCCCCAGUGGGUGGGCCUAUGCCCCCCCAAGGCCCACCCAUGGCUUCACCCCUGCCCAGUUAAAUGAAAUCCAAAGAUUAGGGCCUUCAUUUCCAUUGACAAUAUUCCUUCCAUGAACUGUAACUCAGUAAAAUAUUUGAAAUGGUUGCGUUUAUAUGAUGAUGCGUUCACAUUUUAGUUCAGUGUACAGAGACAUAGAUAUAGGUAGAGUAGAUUCACAGGUUAUGAUGAAGACAGAGGGGGUAGAGUAGACUCACAGGUUAUGAUGAAGACAUAGAUAUAGGUAGAGUAGACUCACAGGUUAUGAUGAAGACAGAGGGGGUAGAGUAGACUCACAGGUUAUGAUGAAGACAGAGGGGGUAGAGUAGACUCACAGGUUAUGAUGAAGACAUAGAUAUAGGUAGAGUAGAUUCACAGGUUAUGAUGAAGACAUAGAUAUAGGUAGAGUAGAUUCACAGGUUAUGAUGAAGACAUAGAUAUAGGUAGAGUAGAUUCACAGGUUAUGAUGAAGACAGAGGGGGUAGAGUAGAUUCAUAGGUUAUGAUGAAGACAUAGGGGGUAGAGUAGAUUCACAGGUUAUGAUGAAGACGUGUAGAUUCACUGGUUAUGAUGAUGAAGAUGAGUAGAGCGUACAGAGACCGGUGGAAAGGUAUGGAUUGCAGUUUUGGGGUCACGAUUCGGUUUUGGUAUAGGGGGAAAAUGAACAGUUUGGCUUCGGCAGUUAACUUCUGUUAACGAAAUAAGAUACACGUUGGUACUUCUGAUUCCAUAUCCACCAUAACAGGCCUGAUGAGAGCACCAUCUUCUGAAAUGAAAACACCACGACUCAUCAACACUAGGAGAAAGUGACAUGUGCAAUCAAUAUGGAAACAUGGCUCAGACAUGGAAAAGACCUGUUUUCUUACGAAGACAAACAUAUGCGCACUUGUGUGACUCAAAGGGGGUGUGUCUAUGGCACUGUAGUUCUUUCCCAGUCCGGGGUCAUGUGAUGGGCUGUCACUUAACAGUCCGGGGUCAUGUGAUUGGCUGUCACUUAAUAGUCCGGGGUCAUGUGAUGGGCCGUCACUGUGAAGUAACUGUGUAACCCUGGAGAUCCAUCCAUCUGUAGGCAGCCCAACACAGGCUGGAUUGGCCAAUUCAUUGUCAACUUCAGCUUUAACUAGCUUAUAUAUGGGUAGCCUGUAUACUGAAAUGAGUGAGAGAGUGAAGAGCCUAAUGUGGCUAGAACACUUUCACAAAGUGCAGAAACGCUCUAACCCCGACAUCCUGA
ensembl:lncRNA